AAAGCCCUAACGUGAACUUAAGGGGAGGAGAGGGGAUGAUCGGCGCUUCCCUCUAGCUGCGAGGAUGUUCGUCAAUAUCGCGGAUUUGAUCCACAAGGUCGAGGGAUGGAUCCUCAGGGAGCGGCAGCGCCGGUAUGUGGAUAAGGAUUUGAAUCCGGUGCUGCUGGUGCCUGGAAUUGGGGGCUCCAUUCUCAAUGCCGUGUACGAGGAUGGCACCACCGAGCGUGUUUGGGUCCGGCUCUUCGCUGCUGAUGUCGAAUUCCGGGAGAAGCUCUACUCCAAAUUCGACCCUAAGACUGGAAGGACCGUGUCCCUGAAUGAGAAAAUUCGUAUCGAAGUGCCUCAAGAUGAGCACGGGAUUUAUAGUUGCGACAUCUUGGAUCCUGAUGUGAUCAUCAGAAUGAAUGUCGUCUACUAUUUCCACGAUUUGAUUGAGAAGAUGUUGAGCUGGGGCUACGAGCAAGUGUUUGGAUUUGGUUAUGACUUUCGGCAAAGCAACAGGCUUCCGGAAAUUAUGGAUGCUUUCAGAAAGAAGAUUGAAAAGAUGUACAAGCACGCUGGAGGUAAAAAGGUGAAGAUUGUGUCGCAUUCCAUGGGUGGCCUGCUCGUUAAGUGCUUUCUUGCUCUCAAUCACGAGUUCUUCGAAAAACAUGUCGAUACGUGGAUUGCGAUCACUGCUCCCUGGCAAGGUGCACCUGGUUUUGUCACAGACUGUCUGUUAACCGGAGUCGAGUUUCUAAAGGGGUGGCAGAAGGAACUAUUCGUUGCGAAAUGGAGCACUCACCAGCUGUUGAUUGAGUGUCCCUCGCUUUACGAGCUGAUGUCGCCUCCCGAUUUCAAGUGGAACCGACCGCCUGAACUUCAUGUCUGGCGUAAAUGCGAGACUUCGAAUGGCUCUUGUUCCGUCGAGAAAGCGGUAUUUAACAGGCCGUAUAGCUGUGUGGAAGUGAUGGCAGACGCCUUGAAAGACAAUACGCUGCAUUUCAACGGUGAAGUCCUACCUUGCCCCUUCAACUACGACAUCCUUGAAUGGUCCAACAAAACCAGGGAGCUCCUGAAGGAUGCAAAGCUUCCAAAGGGAGUUCUUUUCUACAACAUAUAUGGCACUUCACAAGACACACCAUUCGAUGUCUGGUAACGUUUUUCGUUGCAGCUAUGGCAGCUCCGACUGUCCUAUCGAAAAUUUAAGCCACAUCUUAAAAACUGAGGCAACUUUCACGUUUGUGGAUGGCGAUGGAACGGUACCUGUGGAGUCCGCAAAGGCGGACUUACUUGACGCGGUCGCAAGAGUGGGAAUCCCAGGCGAUCACCGAGGGAUUCUUCUCGAGGAGAGGCUCUUCCGUGUUGUCAAGCAUUGGCUAAAGGCCGGAGAACCGGACCCGUUCUACAACCCCAUCAAUGACUACGUGGUGAUCCCAACCCCGGCCGAGUACGACGAGUACCAGCGCAGUCACGUAGAGAUUUCUUUCACGAAGCACCGCCAGGAAGAGCAGCGCGGCCAGAGUCAUGGACACCGCCAGGGAGAAUUCAUCGCUGCCGUGAUCUCGGGAUCGAAUGGACAGAUUGGUGCUCGAGCUGAAGCUCACGCUACGGUGGAAGACGAUGGUGGUGACUUCGUGGAGGUGUCUACGUUUGGUGUUGUGGAGGGCGGAGACGCUGGAGAAAGGAAGCUUGCCCUGGACAAGGCGAUGGCGGCGGCAUCCGACAAGGCGACAAACGUAGCUAUUGGCUGUCGGGGAUAGCGACAUCUGUGUAUGAUGUAUCGCUUUUGUAUAUAUCAAUGCUCGAUUGGACAGUCAAAAGACUGACUUGCUAGUCAAUAAGAGACUCAUUCGCUACAAA